UCUUGGUCAUUUAGAGGAAGUAAAAGUCGUAACAAGGUCUCCGUUGGUGAACCAGCGGAGGGAUCAUUAAAGAGUUUUUACAACUCCCAAACCCCUGUGAACAUACCUUCUGUUGCCUCGGCAGGCCCUGGCCUACCCUGUAGCGCCCCUACACUGUAGGGCUUGCUUUAGGGGGGCGCUGGGGGAACCUGCCGGCGGCCCGCAAAACUCUGUUUAGCAUUGAAUUCUGAACGUAUAACUAAAUAAGUUAAAACUUUCAACAACGGAUCUCUUGGUUCUGGCAUCGAUGAAGAACGCAGCGAAAUGCGAUAAGUAAUGUGAAUUGCAGAAUUCAGUGAAUCAUCGAAUCUUUGAACGCACAUUGCGCCCAUUAGUAUUCUAGUGGGCAUGCCUGUUCGAGCGUCAUUUCAACCCUUAAGCCCCUGUUGCUUAGCGUUGGGAGCCUACGGAAGCGUAGCUCCCUAAAGUUAGUGGCGUGGUCGGUUCACACUCCAGACGUAGUAGAUUUUCACCUCGCCUGUAGCUGGACCGGUCCCCUGCCGUAAAACACCCCAAUUUUUAAAGGUUGACCUCGGAUCAGGUAGGAAUACCCGCUGAACUUAAGCAUAUCAAUA
rnacentral:rRNA from 1 species